UACGUAGGGGGCUAGCGUUGUCCGGAAUCAUUGGGCGUAAAGAGCGUGUAGGCGGCUCGGUAAGUCGGCUCUGAAAGCCCGGGGCUCAACCCCGGGAGGCGGGCGGAUACUGUCGGGCUAGAGUCCGGAAGAGGCGAGUGGAAUUCCUGGUGUAGCGGUGAAAUGCGCAGAUAUCAGGAGGAACACCAAUAGCGAAGGCAGCUCGCUGGGACGGUACUGACGCUGAGACGCGAAAGCGUGGGGAGCAAACAGG
rnacentral:rRNA from 1 species